UACCAGACUCCUACGGGAGGCAGCAGUGGGGAAUAUUGCACAAUGGGGGAAACCCUGAUGCAGCAACGCCGCGUGAGUGAAGAAGUAUUUCGGUAUGUAAAGCUCUAUCAGCAGGGAAGAAAAUGACAGUACCUGACUAAGAAGCCCCGGCUAACUACGUGCCAGCAGCCGCGGUAAUACGUAGGGGGCGAGCGUUAUCCGGAUUCACUGGGUGUAAAGGGAGCGUAGACGGCGAUACAAGUCUGAAGUGAAAGCCCGGGGCUCAACCCCGGGACUGCUUUGGAAACUGUGUUGCUGGAGUGCUGGAGAGGCAAGCGGAAUUUCUAGUGUAGCGGUGAAAUGCGUAGAUAUUAGGAAGAACACCAGUGGCGAAGGCGGCUUGCUGGACAGUAACUGACGUUGAGGCUCGAAAGCGUGGGGAGCAAACAGGAUUAGAUACCCCCGUAUG
rnacentral:rRNA from 1 species